UUUUAUAAAAUAUUUGCUCAACAAUUUAUUUAUUGUUUUACAUUUUCUAUAAAUGUCUGUUGUAAUAUGCAGUGUUUUCGCACAGUGUGGUGCAGAUCUGUAAUCAAAGUCAGCUGCGUUCAGUGUUGCUGUGUUUAAUUUACGUGUGCUUCUGGAGAAGUGGGUGACUUUCUCAGGCUGUUGUGACAUUGACAUGAAUUGUGGCACUCUUGCAGGGGCGAUGGGAUGUUUACGGUAAAACUGAUGGAGCGGGCCAUGUGUACGUGUGUGUGUGUGUGUGUGUGUGUGCGUGGCACUGUGCCAUGAGGACGUUGGCACAGCAGUGGCAGAAUCAUCAUGAAAAAUCCCACACAGAUGGAUGAACCUGUGUGUGUGUGUGUGUGUUUGUGUGUGUGUGUUAUGAGGCCAAGGUCAGUGAGCUGUUGUUGUUUACCUGGUUCGCGGGUGGCUGGUACAUGCAGUUCUCUGGCUGAAUGUUUGUUUUAUUCAGAUGAAGGGCAGCAGGUCUCCAAACGCCUGCUUUGGUCCUAAUUUCCAUCAUUUUUAUACAAAAUCAUAUGUUCCUUUAUACUUUAGAAAUGUGUUUUAUCACUGUUGACUAUAGUCAGUAACAACACUAUCAAUCGUAUGUGUGUGUUUAUGUGACUGUGUGUGUGUGUUUAGGUUGACAUGGGUACGAGCCAGUAAUAAUAAUGUAAGCUGAUCCUCCGUGUGAGAGAGAUCUGCCUGAGGCCUGAUCACGUUUACGGAGAACAGGCGUCUGGUUGGUCACGUGACUCACGUUCACCUCUGGUGUCAGGGCCAAUCAGGGGUCAGCGAGCGCAGACAAUGGCAGGUCUCCCCUCAGACUCGACCGUGUCUCCGCGUCAGCAGAAAAACACAAGAUGUUUGCUGGAGAGGCGCUGAAGAGCCAGCAGUCAGCAGAAAAACAAGGGCCGGCGGCCAACCAGACAGAUGGAGGCUUACAGAGGUCCACAGAGCCAACGCUUCACUCAAACUCACACACAGAAGAGCGUUUGUAAGAUUGUAAGGACAGAAAUACACUGACCUGUCGUGACCACACAAAGACAGCAAUUAACAGCCUCUUAAUGAUGAGUAAUGUCCAUCUCACCAGCUAUUUCUGUGCAGAAUAGUCCACUUUUAUCCUCACCAAGCUGUUUUAAAUCAAUAAAAUGUAUUUAUAAUCAACCUUUU